UGGGGAAUUUUGCGCAAUGGGGGAAACCCUGACGCAGCAACGCCGCGUGAGUGAUGAAGGCCUUCGGGUCGUAAAGCUCUGUCAGAGGGGAAGAAAUGCAGGGGUGCUAAUAUCAUCUUUGCUUGACGGUACCCUCAAAGGAAGCACCGGCUAACUCCGUGCCAGCAGCCGGGUAAUACGGAGGGUGCGAGCGUUGCUCGGAAUUAUUGGGCGUAAAGCGCGUGUAGGCGGUUUGAUAAGUCUGAUGUGAAAGCCCCGGGCUCAACCUGGGAAGUGCAUUGGAAACUGUCAGACUUGAAUACGGGAGAGGGUAGUGGAAUUCCUAGUGUAGGAGUGAAAUCCGUAGAUAUUAGGAGGAACACCGGUGGCGAAGGCGGCUACCUGGACCGAUAUUGACGCUGAGACGCGAAAGCGUGGGGAGCAAACA
rnacentral:rRNA from 1 species